rnacentral:rRNA from 1 species
CGCCUUGCCAGCCCGCUCCGAAACUUAAAUGAAUUGACGGGGGCCCGCACAAGCGGUGGAGUAUGUGGUUUAAUUCGAUGCAACGCGAAGAACCUUACCUGGUCUUGACAUCCCGGAGACCCUUAGGAAACUAGGGGGUGCUUCCAUCUGGAAGAAUCUGGAGACAGGUGCUGCAUGGCUGUCGUCAGCUCGUGUCGUGAGAUGUUGGGUUAAGUCCCGCAACGAGCGCAACCCUUGCCUUUAGUUGCCAGCAGUUCGGCUGGGCACUCUAAAGGGACUGCCGGUGUUAAACCGGAGGAAGGUGGGGAUGACGUCAAGUCCUCAUGGCCUUUAUGACCAGGGCUACACACGUACUACAAUGGCCGAUACAAAGGGCAGCGACACUGCGAGGUGAAGCCAAUCCCGUAAAAUCGGUCUCAGUCCGGAUUGGAGUCUGCAACUCGACUCCAUGAAGUUGGAAUCGCUAGUAAUCGUGGAUCAGCAUGCCACGGUGAAUACGUUCCCGGGCCUU